UACGUAGGGGGCUAGCGUUGUCCGGAAUCAUUGGGCGUAAAGAGCGUGUAGGCGGCUUGGUAAGUCCGCUGUGAAAGUCCAGGGCUCAACCCUGGAAAGCCAGUGGAAACUGUCAAGCUAGAGUCCGGAAGAGGCGAGUGGAACUCCUGGUGUAGCGGUGAAAUGCGCAGAUAUCAGGAAGAACACCAAUGGCGAAGGCAGCUCGCUGGGACGGUAACUGACGCUGAGACGCGAAAGCGUGGGGAGCAAACAGG
rnacentral:rRNA from 1 species